CUGAAAAUUUUCAUUUUCCCUCUUUUUCAAAGCCCCUCAUCUUCAUCUUCUUUGAUUCUCUCUUCUCUUCGCCCCUGCAUAACCUCGACGCAUACAACAGCAACAAUCUCAUCUGCGUGAUCGUUUCUGAGGACAUUGGUUCCGGCGUCUCUCUUGCUAUCUCAACUCUCUCCCACAUCUCCUUCCAGUGUGUCUAUCUCUUGAUUUCUUCUUCUUCCAACAUUUGCGUUUCUUCCAUGAUUGCCCCAACUUUCCAUAAGUACCAUCACCCAUAUCGAUGGACGCUUAUACGACUUAUUGUUAGGGCUUUUGUUAAGUUUUUAGCAUCCACGACCAUUAGACUUCGAAUAUUUUUGCCUUCAGAUUCAAGAGUUGGAAGGUUAUUAGCACGUUCUCCAGCAAGCGUUUGAACAUUUUAGCAUACUUAGUAUGUCCCACAACCUACAUGGAAUUAAGCCUUUAAUUAGAGAAAAGGAUUUUUCUUUGGGCAUUGAUGAGAAUGGCCUUUCGAUCGUAUGUUAUAUUCAGUGAAUGAAGUGAUAAUUAGCUACGAGGAAGGCAAGUAGAAAAGGGAAAUAAUAAUGGGCAACUACCAUUGCUGAAGCUUGUUGAAGGAUUUAUUGUUGUUAAAACCAAAAUGGGAAUGAUAAAGUGGAAGAAACAAAUGUCGAGAGGGAUAGAUGAAAGUAGAGUGUGUGGCUAGUGGGCUACAGAAAGUUGAAACGGAAACUGCAUUGUCUGACUGCUUAAUUCCAAAACAGACGCUACAGGCACCCACGCUAAAAACAACACUAUCCCCUCGAUUUGGUGCAACAAAUCUGUUCCCUUGAAUAGUCUGGCAUCUAUGAAGCUUUUAUUUUUAUUUGUUACAUCAUAAGUUUGCACUUUAAAGUUCAAUUUUAAAAAAAGUAACUCAAGUUUAGUUCAAGGAUGGAAAUAGAUGUCUCAAAACCAACCAUCUUAUUUGCUUUUAUCUCAAGUGCAGUGGUGUUGCUGUGAUCAUCGAAAAGGUGCCCGGAUAUGAAGAGUAUGCUCAAUCUAGAGUACCAAGAGAAUAGUGGGGAAGAUCGUGAGAAGGUCUGUAAUAAGAUUCGGAGAAGAUUGCAACUAAAGAACAAGCUUUGAAGAAGUUCUGCAAGAGAGCAAGGACCAUUUUUCCAGUGUCAAAAGAAUUUGCAAAAGACUCGAAAAAUCACAUUCUGGAAAACAAUAAAGGCAAGUAUAAGAGCAUUAAAAAAAAUUAAUCGAAUGAUGUUUAUUUAGUACAUCUGUAUGAUAUGUUUUAGUUAUGUUAUGAAGUAUAUGCAAGAAAUCGUGACCAAAGAGAAGAAUAUUAUCACAGAUGUGAUUGAUACGAGGAGUUCGUACUCGCAACUUGAAUUGGAUGAAGUACGCGUGGAAUGGGCUGAAUAUUUAGGUCGUUAUAUCUGAUGGACUUCCUAUAAAUUUUGUAUAUGUGGCUACAUGAGAAUGCCGAAAACCCUUUUUAUAAAAAUGUUUUGUUAAGUUAUUAUAGGUUAUAUACUUCAAAGAAAUGUGUGAUGGAUGAUAGAAUUUUAGUCUUGUGAUUUUUGAAAUAUAUAGUACAUAUAGUUUGGUCUUGUAA